rnacentral:rRNA from 1 species
AACGUAGGAGACGAACGUUAUCCGGAGUUGCUGGGCGUAAAGGGCGUGCAGGCGGUCUGAUAAGUUCGGCGUGAAAUAUUCCGGCUUAACCGGGAUAGGUCGUCGGAGACUGUCGGACUAGAGGGUGAUAGAGGCGUGUGGAAUUCCGGGUGUAGUGGUGAAAUGCGUAGAGAUCCGGAGGAACACCAGUGGCGAAGGCGACACGCUGGGUCACACCUGACGCUAAAGCGCGACAGCAUGGGGAGCGAACGGG